CCUACGGGGGGCAGCAGUGGGGAAUAUUGCACAAUGGGCGAAACCCUGAUGCAGCAACGCCGCGUGAGUGAAGAAGGAAUUCGUUAUGUAAAGCUCUAUUAGCAGGGAAGAAAAUGAUGGUACAUGAGUACGAAGCCGCGGCUAACUACGUGCCAGCAGCCGCGGCAAUACGUAGGGGGCAAGCGUUAUCCGGCUUUACUGGGUGUAAAGGGAGCGUAGACGGCAGUGCAAGUCUGCAGUGAAAGGCGGGGGCUCAACCCCCGGACUGCUCUUGAAACUGUACGGCUGGAGUGCAGGAGAGGUAAGUGGAAUUCCUGGUGUAGCGGUGAAAUGCGUAGAUAUUAGGAGGAACACCAGUGGCGAAGGCGGCUUACUGGACUGUAACUGACGUUGAGGCUCGAAAGCGUGGGGAGCAAACAGGAUUAGAUACCCUUGUAGUC
rnacentral:rRNA from 1 species